GUAGGUGGCAAGCGUUGUCCGGAAUUAUUGGGCGUAAAGCGCGCGCAGGCGGUCCUUUAAGUCUGAUGUGAAAGCCCACGGCUCAACCGUGGAGGGUCAUUGGAAACUGGGGGACUUGAGUACAGAAGAGGAAAGCGGAAUUCCAAGUGUAGCGGUGAAAUGCGUAGAGAUUUGGAGGAACACCAGUGGCGAAGGCGGCUUUCUGGUCUGUAACUGACGCUGAGGCGCGAAAGCGUGGGGAGCAAACAGGGAUUAGAUACCCUGGUAGUCCACGCCGUAAGCGAUGAGUGCUAAGUGUUAGGGGGUUUCCGCCCCCUUAGUGCUGCAGCUAACGCAUUAAGCACUCCGCCUGGGGAGUACGGCCGCAAGGCUG
rnacentral:rRNA from 1 species